AGGGUUAUAUGAUCAAGUAAUUAAGAGCACAAGGCGGAUGCCUUGGCAGCUGAAGGCGAUGAAGGAC
rnacentral:rRNA from 1 species